rnacentral:rRNA from 1 species
GACGAACGCUGGCGGCGUGCUUAACACAUGCAAGUCGAACGGAAAGUCCCUGCUUGCAGGGUCCUCGAUUGGCGAACGGGUGAGUAACACGUGGGUGAUCGGCACUGCACUUCGGGAUAGGCCUGGAAAACGGGGACUAACACCGGAUAGGAGCUAUAUUUAGUGUGAUUGUUGGCGAGUUUUUUCGGUGUAGUAUUAGGGCGCGGCCCAUCCGAUUGUUGGUGCGGUAAUGGCCUACCAAGGCGGCGCCGGGAAGCCGGACUGCGGGGGUGGCCGGCCACAGUGAGACUGAGAUACGGCCACGACUCCUACGGGUGGCAGCGGUGGGGAAGAUGGAUCAAUGGGCGCAGGCGUGAUGCAGAGACGCCGAGUGGGGGAGGGCGGCGUUCGGGUUGGAGACGCCAUUCGCUAGGAACCGAGCUUUUUGUGACGGUACCUAGAUAAGAAGCACCGGCUAACUACGUG